CUCUUCUCAUAUGAUGACUUAUUAAAGGUAUUAAGGUCUUAAUUUUGAUUCUGUAGGGUAUUCUCAUACUUUUUCUGCAGUGAGCACAAGAAAAAUCAGAGGAGCCCUAGUCUCAUGAUACUUAUCAGGGUUUUUUGUCUUUCCAAAGAAGUUAGACAAACUUAUCAAUCAGGUCUUUUCUUUUGCCUCCUGAAACAGCCUUUGUUUUAGUAUGUGCAAGUAGUUCAGAGGCAACAAAUAGAGUCUGAGGGCAGAGAAUAGUCCUUCUGAUAGUGAAUUGUGAGAAAGGACACACACAGUCAUUGAAAGAGAACUUCCAAAAACUCUGGCAUGGUGGAAUUGUUUAUUGUGGGACCAAAUGAUCUCAUGC
rnacentral:lncRNA from 1 species